CCUACGGGUGGCAGCAGUGGGGAAUAUUGCACAAUGGGGGAAACCAUGAUGCAGCGACGCCGCGUGAGUGAAGAAGUAUCUCGGUACGUAAAGCUCUAUCAGCAGGGAAGAAAAUGAUGGUACCUGACUAAGAAGCCCCGGCUAACUACGUGCCAGCAGCCGCGGUAAUACGUAGGGGGCAAGCGUUAUCCGGAUUUACUGGGUGUAAAGGGAGCGUAGACGGCAGCACAAGUCUGGAGUGAAAUCCCGGGGCUUAACCCCGGAACUGCUUUGGAAACUGUGCGGCUGGAGUGCAGGAGGGGUAAGCGGAAUUCCUAGGGUAGCGGUGAAAUGCGUAGAUAUUAGGAGGAACACCGGUGGCGAAGGCGGCUUACUGGACUGUAACUGACGUUGAGGCUCGAAAGCGUGGGGAGCAAACAGGAUUAGAUACCCUGGUAGUC
rnacentral:rRNA from 1 species